GAUUGAUUAGUUUAAGUAAAACAGAAGCUUUGUAAGUUUAAAAUCUAAUAGAAAA
rnacentral:tRNA from 1 species